rnacentral:rRNA from 1 species
CUCUUUCUCGAUUCAGUGGAUGGUGGUGCAUGGCCGUUCUUAGUUGGUGGAGUGAUCUGUCUGGUUAAUUCCGAUAACGAACGAGACUCUCCCCUGCUAACUAGUCGGUUGGAUCUUGAUCAGUGGGUUGAGUGCCGAGUAACUCUCGCUGUGCGUGUUGUGCGUCUCGUUCCUCACGGUUCGUUGCGUGCUCAUGUGUGGCGUUGGAUGCCUUGGAUCACACUGCACCCCAAGUCCGCCGCUUUGCUAUAACUCUUCUUAGAGGGAUUCACGGCACUGAAGCCGUAAGAGACUGAGAGCAAUAACAGGUCUGUGAUGCCCUUAGAUGCUCUGGGCCGCACGCGCGCUACAAUGCCGGGCACAGCAGGUGUUUCUCCUGCUCCGACAGGAGCGGGUAACCCUCUGAAAGCCAGUGUUCUUGCAAGUGCUUCCUCCCUCGUGGAGUUGCACAGAGGCGUGCUUGGGCCUGGGACUUGCAAUUCUUUCCCACCAACGAGGAAUGCCUAGUAGCGGCGGGUCACUGAGCCCGCUGUGACUCAGUCCCUGCCCUUUGUACACACCGCCCGUCGCUACUACCGAUUGGGUGUACCAGUGAGAGCCUUGGACUGGCGUCCGUUGUUGCUCGCAAGAGUGACAAGCGGGUCCGACGGAAAGAGGUCCGAA